rnacentral:rRNA from 1 species
GACGUAGGGCGCGAGCGUUGUCCGGAUUUAUUGGGCGUAAAGAGCUCGUAGGCGGCUCGUCGCGUCGACCGUGAAAACCCGCGGCUUAACUGCGGGCUUGCGGUUGAUACGGGCGGGCUAGAGUUCGGUAGGGGGGACUGGAAUUCCUGGUGUAGCGGUGAAAUGCGCAGAUAUCAGGAGGAACACCGGUGGCGAAGGCGGGUCUCUGGGCCGAUACUGACGCUGAGGAGCGAAAGCGUGGGGAGCGAACAGG